rnacentral:rRNA from 1 species
UGAACGCUAGCGUACAGGCUUAACACAUGCAAGUCGAGGGGCAGCAUUGGGAUAGCUUGCUAGUUCCAGAUGGGCACCGGCGCACGGGUGAGUAACGCGUAUCCAACCUUCCCCAUAGUAGGGCACAGCCCGGCGAAAGUCGGAUUAAUUCCCUAUGUUGUCCAGAGAGGACAUCUGACCUGGACGAAAGAUUCAUCGCUAUGGGAUGGGGAUGCGUCUGAUUAGGUUGCAGGCGGGGUAACGGCCCACCUGGCCGACGAUCAGUAGGGGUUCUGAGAGGAAGGUCCCCCACAUUGGAACUGAGACACGGUCCAAACUCCUACGGGAGGCAGCAGUGAGGAAUAUUGGUCAAUGGACGGAAGUCUGAACCAGCCAAGUAGCGUGCAGGAAAAGACGGCCCUAUGGGUUGUAAACUGCUUUUAUCAGGGGAUAAAGUGAGGUAUGUAUACCUUUUUGCAUGUACCUGAUGAAUAAGGACCGGCUAAUUCCGUGCCAGCAGCUGC